GACGAACGCUGGCGGCGUGCUUAACACAUGCAAGUCGAACGGAAAGGCCCCUUCGGGGGUCCUCGAGUGGCGAACGGGUGAGUAACACGUGAGUAACCUGCCCUUGACUUCGGGAUAACUUCAGGAAACUGGGGCUAAUACCGGAUAGGAAUCCUUGCUGCAUGGUGGGGGUUGGAAAGCUUCGGCGGUUUUGGAUGGACUCGCGGCUUAUCAGCUUGUUGGUGGGGUAGUGGCUUACCAAGGCUUUGACGGGUAGCCGGCCUGCGAGGGCGACCGGCCACAUUGGGACUGAGGGACGGCCCAGGCACCUACGGGAGGCAGCAGUGGGGAAGAUUGAACAAGGGGCGGAAGCCUGAUGCAGCAACGCCGCGGGCGGGAUGACGGUCUUAGGGUUGAAAACCGAUUUCAGCAGGGGCGAAGCUUGUGGUGACGGUACCUGCAGAAGAAGCACCGGCUAACUACGUG
rnacentral:rRNA from 1 species